rnacentral:misc_RNA from 1 species
UCUCCGUUGGUGAAUCAGCGGAGGGAUCAUUACAGAGUUGCAAAACUCCCAAACCAUUGUGAACGUUACCUAUCCCGUUGCUUCGGCGGGCGGCCCGGGCUCCGCGCCCGGCGCCCCCCGGCCCCCCGUGGGCGCCCGCCGGAGGUAAACCAAACCCUUGAAUUGCAUGGCCUCUCUGAGUCUUCUGUACUGAAUAAGUCAAAACUUUCAACAACGGAUCUCUUGGUUCUG